rnacentral:tRNA from 2 species
GCGAGAGUGGCGGAAUUGGUAGACGCGCCAGACUUAGGAUCUGGUGGGGCGACCUGUGGGGGUUCGAGUCCCCCCUCUCGUA